AUCAACUUAAUUGUUGUACCGAACCAAUUUCCGAACCAUCAACAUAUUAAUCAAGCCAAAGACGAAACAAAAAAGUCCGUUAAUUUCAUCAGGAAUAUAAAAAAAAGUUGAUCAUUAAUAUUGAUUGGAAUAAGAAUUGAUACCAUCAAGAGUAAACAUCCAUUCAGGAGUUAUCCAAUUAUUGUACUUACAGCAAACUUUAAGAUCGGCUUUUCUCAUCCGCCAUUUUUGUCCACUAUCAUGGUCAAUACAAUAACAAAGGUCUCGAAGUCGCUUAUUACCAUCGUCAUCGGUAUAUUCAACCUUCUCGUCGCAAUUAACUUCUACCUGUCGUUGAUUUUAACUUGAAGAUGAUUAACUUUGUUCAAUUUUAAUCAACUAUUACAUAUAUGGUUAAGAUGAUGCUGAGAAUUGUGUUUUGUUUCAUCAAUUACAAUUCGAGUUGAUUGAUUAAAUUGUUACCAAUAAUACUUACAA